GCUCAGAUGGUGGAAUUGGUAGACACGCUAGCCUUAGGAGCUAGUAGCUUCGGCUGUGUGGGUUCGAGUCCCACUCUGAGCACCA
rnacentral:tRNA from 1 species